GAAUGGCGAGUACUUGCAAAUGCUGAUGAAAUCUUUAAGUGAGGAGCCUCUAACUAAUAUGAAAAUCUCCUCUCUCAGGCUGCGUGGACGCUGCCCAGCCACGGUGACGGAGCUGUUCCAAUGCCUGCUUCCCGAGACAGGCCCAUGAAAUCAUGCAGGCUUGAGCCCGGCUUCUAGAAGGAGCACACCACUGGCCAGGGUGGCUGGUGGAAACCAGCCCUGGCCAAGGGAGCCCCGGCCAGGCUGUCAGGUUGGUCUCAAACUCCUGGGCUCAUGCAGUCUUCCUGCCUCGGCCUCUCAAUGUGCUGGAAUUACAGAGAGGCAGCUAAGUCUUUUCCACAAUGGAUGACACAGUCCUCCUCACAAACCACCCCACAGAUCCAACCCCAAGGAACUCUACUUCUACGUGUGCCUGUGGGGCAAGGGAUGCAAAGCACCAGGCGAUGGAGCUCAGAGGAUGGCACUCUUCCAGAGAGCUGUGUGUCUCUGGGAAAACUAACACACCUCUCUGAGCCUGUUGCUACAGCUUUACCAUCAGCGAUGUGACUGCAAGCCUUCUCAGCUGCCUGUCAGCAGAUGCACAGGCCUGUGCACAGAGCUCUGCGGAGACCACGCCGACAUUGCCGCACACCCACCCUCCUGCUCAUGGGACAGACCAUUCACACCCACUUUUCCACCAGCCACAGGUUGUUGGAAAGAGAAGACUCUUCUCCAUGGACAAGCCACUGCCCCUUUAAGGGCCUCAGCUUCCUUACCCUAUGGGAUGAGGAAACAAAUCUUCACUUCCCACGGGACUUGGGGGAUGAAAAGGUAACCUCCGUAAAGCGGCCCCUGCUGCGGGGAAGCCACCCCACAGAUGAUAUUCCCCGCCCCCCCACCGCCCUCCCCAUAGGCCCAGAGCUCUACAGAGUCCUCAAGCUGGUGUCCCUCCAGGCUAAAACGCUUCCACCCCCUGGGCAGUGCACUACAGGGUGGUGGGGAAGGGGGCCAUCUGUGGAAGACAACACAGGGCCUGGCCUGGGGUCCUAGGCAAGACCUCUGUGACCUCAGUUUCCCCAGAUCCUCCAGGUGUGACCUUGUAGAUGGCCUCUAUUCUGGAUUCACAGCUGCUGAGGAGGAGGAAGAGGACACUGAAGGCAUUCCUUCAGUCCCCUGGGGAGGUUCAGAUGCUCAGACUCCCGGAUACCACCUUUGCUGGGCAGAAUAAUGUCCCCAAGAUGUCCAAGCCCUAAUCCCUGGAGCCUGGGAAAGUGUUACCUCACAGACCAAAGGGACUUUGCAGGUGUGUGAUUGAGUUAAAGAUCUGCAGUGGGAGGGUAGCCUGGAUUAGCCACGUGCGCCCAAAAGCAGAGACUCCUUCCCAGCCGUGGUCAGAGACAGAACGAGGGGACGCUGCUGGCUUUAAAGAUGGAAGAAGGGACAAGGAGCCAGGAGUGCAAGUGCCGCCAGAGGCCAGAAAAGGCAAGGGAUGGAUUUUUCCUCUGGAGUUCCAGGAGGAACCAGCCCUGCCAACACCUGGAUUUUAGUCCUGGGACCCCACCUCAGACAUCUGACCCCCUUGAGUGUAAGGUAAUAAAUGUGCGUUGCUUAAGCCACUAAGUCAGCCAUAAGUUGUUACAUGGCUACCACAGGAAACUAACAGGCCCUCCCCUCUGGCCCCGACAUGCCCAGCUGCCUGUGAAGGGGAAUAAAGAUGGCACAAGGCACGGCCCUCAUCGAUGUGUUCACACACCUUGCUCCCCUACUGGGCUGGCCCUGGGGCUGCAGACCUGAUCCUUGCUCUCAGGAGCCUUCGCCAGCUGAGAGACACCCACAGAGCCUCCCCUCCACUGGGGAGGCUCGAACCUUCCCUCCUGCUGCUGCUGCCCCAUCCUCUCCUCUUCCUCCUGCUGCUGUUUGUUGAGUGCUCCCUGUGAGUAGGCACCAGGCUAGUGUCCUCCUCCCAACCCUGGCCUCAUAGGCUCAGCGGUCAGGCCACCCAAGCAGCCACAUUGUGGACCCCCGAAUCCUGCCUGUGGUUUGGCAGGACAAAGGGUCUUUUCUGCUUCAGAGUCACAAAUGUGUCCUCCUCACAAUAAGGGCAGCAUGGAGGUCCGUGGGCCAGUGCCUCAGCCCAUUGAGCCUGGGGUCCUUGUCUGUACAGGGGGAAGAAGGUAGCACCUCACAGAUGGCGAUAAACCCAGCCAGUGCAGGGCAGGCAGUCAGCGCUCCAGACUCGCUUCAAGUCUUUGCCUAUGCUGCCAAUCAAGUCAGCUGUGGGAAGAGUCAGGUUUUUCUCUUGAAAGUCAGGGCCGGGCAGGGUGGCUCACGCCUGUAAUCCCAGCACUUUGGGAGGCCGAGGUGGGUGGAUCACGAGGUCAGGAGAUCGAGACCAUCCUGGCUAACACAGUGAAACCCUGUCUCUACUAAAAAUACAAAAAAUUAGCCGGGCGUGGUAGCGGGCGCCUGUAGUCCCAGCUACUUGGGAGGCUGAGGCAGGAGAAUCACUUGAACCUGGGAGGCAGAGGUUGCAGUGAGCCGAGAUCACGCCACUGCACUCCAGCCCCAGAGGACAGUGAGACUC